UUUGGUGCUGGUGGAGCAAACUCACGCCCCUAGCCAGCCUUUUCAGCAACUCGUGCCAAGAGUACUCGUUCACCAGCGCCGCCCCUUUAAGAGAUUUCGCCUGCAGACAUUUUUUUAACUUUUUAAAGACAGGAUGAAGGAAUCCGAAAAGGGCUGGAGUGCAUGACCUCCAACUGAAGUUCUCUGAGGAGCUUCUAUCAAACUAAGCAACCAAGAAAUACAGAAAGCAAACUGGAGCAAGUCUUUAUGCAACAUAAUGUGAAACCACACAACUCUCAGCUGCGAAAUAUACUUCACCAACAGCACUUACAUGGAUACAACUUUUUAA